GCCCGGGUGGCGGAAUAGGUAGACGCAAGGGACUUAAAAUCCCUCGGGAGUCAAAUCCCAUGCCGGUUCGAUUCCGGCCUCGGGCA
rnacentral:tRNA from 1 species